GCGCCGGUAGCUCAGGUGGACAGAGCGGCUGCCUUCUAAGCAGCGGGUCGGGGGUUCGAAUCCCUCCCGGCGCA
rnacentral:tRNA from 1 species